CAACAGCGUACAUAGAUGUAGACAGGUUUGACUGUGGCAUUAGUAAUUCCACAUUUUUCAUUUUUAAACAAGCUUAAAAUAUCUGAGACUCGGCUGUGUAAUUUAGUAUGGGUAUGAAGCAAGAGUGUGUUACAAGAGAGUAGCAUGUGUUAAACAGGCUAGGUACACGAUAUUAGAUAGUAACUUGCUUGGCUGUCCUUUAGUUUAGGCAAGAGUACAACACAGUUAGUAUACUGUCUGGUAUAGUAUAAUAGCAUGGUGUAUAUACAUAAAGUGUGUGUUAUGAAAAAAGCUUUUGAGGUGAGCCUUCGCAAUGUUACUAGUGAGGUGAACCCCUGGAUUACCCCAACAUAGUGUGGAGUGCGUAGAUAGAGGCAUGCAAACAGAAAAUCAACGAUAACAUAACAUAAAAGUAACGGCAUCAUCAGCACAGGUAUAGAAGGGCAGCAUAAGUAAACGUGUCCUGGAGAAUGUGGGUGAUGUGCACAGGGUAAUAUGGCGAUAUCAGCCAAUGCCUCGGCUGGGCACUUUGGGAGAGUCUCUGGGUGUUGCUGUAUGAGGUAGGUAUGCCAGGGUGUUAUCUCUCUCACUCCGGGCCUUAUAGGUGACCUGCGUCUGCGUUCCAUGGAACCGGGUUAUUUGAUAUAGCAAGUCCCUCCCCGCUGGGAGACUGUGGGGCUUUGAGUGGUCCACUUCUGGGUGCAGGUGCCGUGGCUCUGCUGUUGUGGAACGUGCUUUGCGGCUGUGAAUCUAGAGUUAAUUCUGUAGCUCAGUGGCCGCUGUUCUCAGUGUAGGGGCUUAGUGUUCCCGCCAUUCUUGGCCUUGCGCCCCGCCUUCUCCUCACACGAUUUGGUGGCGCUGUGCUCUUACGGGGCCCGUUUCGAAUUGCUGGUCGAUGUUGAUGUAGUCUUAGGUACUUUGUCUUGGUCGCGCCCCUGACCCCGAAAGCUGAUUUUGGCCUGCUGCUGAUGUUAGUGAGGCUCCAGGAGCCUAGUCUUGAGAUGGCACCUCAUGCGUGUGGAGCCUGUGGGAGUUUCUGCAUCCCGCCGUG